rnacentral:rRNA from 1 species
AUUGAACGCUGGCGGCAGGCUUAACACAUGCAAGUCGAGCGAGCGGCGGACGGGUGCAUAAUGUCUGGGAAACUGCCUGAGGGAGGGGGAAAAACACUGGAAACGGUAGCUAAUACCGCAUACCAUCAGAUGUGCCCAGAUGGGUUGUGCUAGUAGGUGGGGUAAUGGCUCACCUAGGCGACGCCCCCUAGCUGGUCUGAGAGGAUGACCAGCCACACUGGAACUGAGACACGGUCCAGACUCCUACGUGAGGCAGCAGUGGGGACUAUUGCACAAUGGGCGCAAGCCUGAUGCAGCCAGGCCGCGUGUGUGAAGAAGGCCUUCGGGUUGUAAAGCACUUUCAGCGAGGAGGCGUUACUCGCAGAAGAAGCACCGGCUAACUCCGUGCCAGCAGCCGCGGUAAUUC